AUUGAACGCUGGCGGCAUGCCUUACACAUGCAAGUCGAACGGUAACAGGUCUUCGGAUGCUGACGAGUGGCGAACGGGUGAGUAAUACAUCGGAACGUGCCCGAGAGUGGGGGAUAACGAGGCGAAAGCUUUGCUAAUACCGCAUACGAUCUCAGGAUGAAAGCAGGGGACCGCAAGGCCUUGCGCUCACGGAGCGGCCGAUGGCAGAUUAGGUAGUUGGUGGGAUAAAAGCUUACCAAGCCGACGAUCUGUAGCUGGUCUGAGAGGACGACCAGCCAGACUGGGACUGAGACACGGCCCAGACUCCUACGGGAGGCAGCGGUGGGGAAUUUUGGACAAUGGGCGCAAGCCUGAUCCAGCCAUGCCGCGUGCAGGAUGAAGGCCUUCGGGUUGUAAACUGCUUUUGUACGGAACGAAAAGACUCUGGUUAAUACCUGGGGUCCAUGACGGUACCGUAAGAAUAAGCACCGGCUAACUACGUGCCAGCAGCCGCCGUAACAC
rnacentral:rRNA from 1 species